AAAUCAGCACUCCUUAGGGGAUUGACUGCUGCUGCUGGUUUGGCUGCUCAGAACUACUUGGUUAUUUUUGGGACCCAUCCUGUUAGCUUGAGGUUUUCUAAUGGAGAUUAAUGUCCAUUUCCAUUAUCUUUUCUGACCUGUAUAAGCUGAAUUGGAAAUGCCUGCCUACCCUUGCCUUAGGGCAAAACGAUCACAGAGGAAUCGUUUCUGGGCCUCUCUCUGCCUACAUAAAUGCAUUCAGUAAAUGAAGCAAGCAUGAAUGAGCCAAACAGCAUUACUUUCUGUAAUGAUUUACUGCUCCCUAGCACAGCCUGUUAAAAAAAUUAAAUGAUCAGACGAGGAUGAUUGCAGUACUGUAGAUACUCUAUAUUAAAAAAAGAGGCAAGUUUAUGUGCAUCCAGUUUGAUUAUCUGGUGAACAUCGCAGACUGACUUCGGGGAUGUUUCCAGUACGGGCACACCCACAACUGGUGGAUAUAAGACUGUAAGCUAUUUACAAUGCGUUGUGACUACUGGGACGAGAAAGGGCUGCUGAGUGGAGUGUGACCAGAAUAUAAGGACCUAAAGAUGUGAGUGCCAUGGGAUCGUUAUCGUCCACCUGAACAGGCACACAGGACACCUUGGUUUAAAGUAUCAUCAAAGGAUGACACUUCUGACAAUGCAACACUCCUCCAGCAGCUCUGCUAGAUGAGUUGUUUUUAUCACAAAAUGUGUGAGUGUUUGUUUUCCUCUCAACAGCUCUAUUGUUACCCUUCAUAUUUCACAAAACAAACAGCGAUUCACAACCAAGACCCAGCACAAUGAAAGUCAUACAUUGCAUGGGGCCCAGGAUCAUAAAUUCACAUGUCUCAAAACAAUAUUAAAUAGAAUUGAAUGUCACAACACAGAGACAAUCCAUAACCAAACCUAAGAAAUGUCAGGCCGUGCUCUAUUAAAAAGCGUCGUCAAUUUUUAUUGCUCUUUGCAAUUGUAGAUGGUGAAGUCAAGAUUCUAACAAAAAUUGCUACAAUCUUUGGUUUAGUUUUAGCGCUGUACACAGUUAUGACUGCAUUUAAAAUGAGUGCCCCGAGAUACUACUUGGUUAAAGUUGCUGGGUUAAUUUUCUCAUUUAAUUUUAGAAACUCAACAGAAGAUCGGAAGUAACUGUUUGAAUGUAUUCCAAUGAAUAAAGGGGAAAUAACUAUGAAUAUUGCAUGGUCUAAUGAUGCCUGACUCAACAGUGAAUGCAAAUUAUUAAAAUGUGUUCCUAUGCUGUAUAUUCUUGUGAAGCAACAGUUUUUAAUAGCAUUAA